UACGUAGGUGGCAAGCGUUGUCCGGAAUUAUUGGGCGUAAAGCGCGCGCAGGCGGCCUUUUAAGUCUGGUGUGAAAGCCCACGGCUCAACCGUGGAAGGUCAUUGGAAACUGAAAGGCUUGAGUACAGAAGAGGAAAGCGGAAUUCCACGUGUAGCGGUGAAAUGCGUAGAGAUGUGGAGGAACACCAGUGGCGAAGGCGACUUUCUGGUCUGUAACUGACACUGAGGCGCGAAAGCGUGGGGAGCAAACAGG
rnacentral:rRNA from 1 species